UUUCAGACGCGGAUGCAGAGCUUGCAGCCGGAGCCUGCCGCCCGCUACCGGAACGUGCUCGAGGCCCUGUGGCGGAUUGUCCAGACGGAGGGUUUCUGGAGGCCGAUGCGGGGCAUGAACAUCACAGCCACGGGGGCUGGCCCUGCCCACGCCUUGUAUUUCGCCUGCUAUGAAAAGUUAAAAAAGACAUUGAGUGAUGUCAUCCAUGCUGGGGGCAAUAGCCAUGUGGCCAACGGUAUUGAUCCUUCCUGCACCGCCAUCCCUGAUGGGCUAGAGCAGCUGAGAGCGGCCCUGCUGGCUGGGGUGGUAAAGUCAUUGGCAUCCCCAGAAGUCUGGGCCCCUGUGUUCCCCCAGCAUGAGUCGGUAGAACUCAGACUGGCUGUCAGUGGUUCUUUUCCCCUGUCUGCCAUCUCCCAGACACUGCCCUGACCCGUACUGCUCUGUACCAGCCCUGCGGGCUUCCCAGUGGCUGUGCAGCAGUGGCUGCAGUUCACCCAGGGAGAGUAUGCGUGGCACUGGUGGUGCUUGCUACCUAUUUAGACCUAGUUCUGGAGCCAGGUGCAGCAAUGGGGAAAACAGAUGUGUCCCAGUAAAUGGAGGGGGGGGGUGCUAGUUCUUUGGGCAGUGAGAAAGAGGAUCUGCCCCACAUAGGGUAGGGCUUGCUUGCCGUGUCUAUCUUCAGGGUGCUGUUAUGGCACCCAUUUCCUCUGCAGCCUGGGGCGGGGUUUCCUUGGUGAUGGUAGUGAACAGCCAGGGAGACAGGGUUGAUAGGAAUGGCUGGGCUGACACCUAAUCCCACCACACCAAAGCAGUCAGUUUCAGGAUGGUGCAGGUGGCCUAUAGCAAUGUCCUCUCGCCAGUCACUAGCUAGCACCCAUCUUCACAGUGCUCUCUUCCACUCCACCCGUCCCUCCCACCCGGCGCUGGGCAGGGGGAGUGUUGUACUCAUGCUGCACCUCUUCGUAGACCUGUCUGAGCUGUUCCUAGGUAUCUGGCUUUGAGGAACAGGUUAGUGGGGCUGGGAGCUGGUCAACACCUGCCCCUUGCUCACAGCAACACCUGUGGAUGGGAGCUGCCUGCAGGACUCCCCUCGUCUCUGAGCUGGGAUUGACUGCAGCCUUGUGGGUGCAGCAGGGUGUGUAGCAACAUUGCUCCAUGAUGCAGCUAUGAACCCUGUGGAAGUGGUCAAGCAGAGGAUGCAGAUGUACAACUCCCCAUACCAGCGGGUGCCGGCCUGUGUGCGAGCCGCAUGGCGCAACGAAGGGGCU